GAUUGGUUACCUUGUUACGACUUCACCCCAGUCACGAACCCUGCCGUGGUAAUCGCCCUCCUUGCGGUUAGGCUAACUACUUCUGGCAGAACCCGCUCCCAUGGUGUGACGGGCGGUGUGUGCAAGACCCGGGAACGUAUUCACCGCGGCAAGCUGAUCCGCGAUUACUAGCGAUUCCGACUUCACGCAGUCGAGUUGCAGACUACGAUCCGGACUACGACCGGUUUUCUGGGAUUGGCUCCCCCUCGCGGGUUGGCAGCCCUCUGUACCGGCCAUUGUAUGACGUGUGUAGCCCUACCCAUAAGGGCCAUGAGGACCUGACGUCAUCCCCACCUUCCUCCGGUUUGUCACCGGCAGUCUCAUUAGAGUGCUCUUGCGUAGCAACUAAUGACAAGGGUUGCGCUCGUUGCGGGACUUAACCCAACAUCUCACGACACGAGCUGACGACGGCCAUGCAGCACCUGUGUUCAAGUUCUCUUUCGAGCACUUCCACAUCUCUGCAGAAUUCUUGACAUGUCAAGGGUAGGUAAGGUUUUUCGCGUUGCAUCGAAUUAAACCACAUCAUCCACCGCUUGUGCGGGUCCCCGUCAAUUCCUUUGAGUUUAACCUUGCGGCCGUACUCCCAGGCGGUCAACUUCAC
rnacentral:rRNA from 1 species